UACGUAGGGUGCAAGCGUUAAUCGGAAUUACUGGGCGUAAAGCGUGCGCAGGCGGUUUGCUAAGACCGAUGUGAAAUCCCCGGGCUUAACCUGGGAACUGCAUUGGUGACUGGCAGGCUAGAGUAUGGCAGAGGGGGGUAGAAUUCCACGUGUAGCAGUGAAAUGCGUAGGGAUGUGGAGGAAUACCGAUGGCGAAGGCAGCCCCCUGGGCCAAUACUGACGCUCAUGCACGAAAGCGUGGGGAGCAAACAGG
rnacentral:rRNA from 1 species